rnacentral:rRNA from 1 species
UGGGGAAUAUUGGACAAUGGGCGCAAGCCUGAUCCAGCAAUGCCGCGUGUGUGAAGAAGGCCUUCGGGUUGUAAAGCACUUUUAUCAGGAGCGAAACGCUGCCGGCUAAUACCCGGCGGAACUGACGGUACCUGAGGAAUAAGCACCGGCUAACUUCGUGCCAGCAGCCGCGGUAAUACGAAGGGUGCAAGCGUUAAUCGGAAUUACUGGGCGUAAAGCGUGCGUAGGCGGUUUCUUAAGUCUGCUGUGAAAUCCCCGGGCUCAACCUGGGAAUGGCAGUGGAUACUGGGAGGCUAGAGUGUGUCAGAGGGUGGUGGAAUUCCCGGUGUAGCGGUGAAAUGCGUAGAGAUCGGGAGGAACAUCAGUGGCGAAGGCGGCCACCUGGGACAACACUGACGCUGAGGCACGAAAGCGUGGGGAGCAAACAGGAUUAGAUACCCUGGUAGUCCACGCCCUAAAACGAUGCGAACUGGAUGUUGGUCUCAAACUCGGAGAUCAGUGUCGAAGCUAACGCGUUAAGUUCGCCGCCUGGGGAGUACGGUCGCAAGACUGAAACUUAAAGG